CCUACGGGAGGCAGCAGUGAGGAAUAUUGGUCAAUGGGCGGAAGCCUGAACCAGCCAAGUAGCGUGCGGGAUGAAGGCCCUACGGGUCGUAAACCGCUUUUGCACGGGGAUAACACCCUCCACUUGUGGAUGUCUGCAGGUACCGUGCGACUAAGGGCCGGCUAAUUCCGUGCCAGCAGCCGCGUUAAUACGGAAGGCCCGAGCGUUAUCCGGAUUCAUUGGGCUUAAAGGGAGCGUAGGCGGGCGUUCAAGUCAGCUGUAAAAUCGCGCGGCUCAACCGCGCCCCGCAGUUGACACUGGACGCCUUGAGUUCACAACAGGCAGGCGGAAUUCGUGGUGUAGCGGUGAAAUGCAUAGAUAUCACGAGGAACCCCGAUUGCGAAGGCAGCCUGCCGGGGUGCGACUGACGCUGAGGCUCGAAGGUGCGGGUAUCAAACAGGAUUAGAUACCCGUGUAGUC
rnacentral:rRNA from 1 species